rfam:Tupaia chinensis contig122158, whole genome shotgun sequence.
AGCUCUAUGAUGAUUGUCUUUUGAUUGCUUGAAGCAAUAUUAAAAACUCAUUUUACAGGACCAGCAGUU